GAGAAAAUCUUAUUCAUGGGAACAAACUUAGGCCAACCCUGUCCAGAUGGAGACAUCCGGAAGCAGAGAAAUCAGGAUUUUCACCUAUAAUCCAAGCCACCAUUACUGACUGUUUGGACCAGAUAUGCCCCAGAGCAUCUAUUUGGCUGGCGAUUCCCUGGAGUGGUUUGCUGUAUUGAAUGAUCCAUGAAAGUGGAGGAGUUCCUGAGUUGAAGAGAGUGGGCCUGGAUAAACUACAAGACAUACUGAAGGACAAG